UAGGGAAUCUUCCGCAAUGGACGCAAGUCUGACGGAGCAACGCCGCGUGAGUGAAGAAGGAUUUCGGUUCGUAAAACUCUGUUGUUAGAGAAGAACAGCGCAUAGAGUAACUGUUAUGCGUGUGACGGUAUCUAACCAGAAAGCCACGGCUAACUACGUGCCAGCAGCCGCGGUAAUACGUAGGUGGCAAGCGUUGUCCGGAUUUAUUGGGCGUAAAGCGAGCGCAGGCGGUCAAUUAAGUCUGAUGUGAAAGCCCCCGGCUCAACCGGGGAGGGUCAUUGGAAACUGGUUGACUUGAGUGGAGAAGAGGAGAGUGGAAUUCCAUGUGUAGCGGUGAAAUGCGUAGAUAUAUGGAGGAAAACCAGUGGGGAAGGCGACUCUCUGGUCUGUAACUGACGCGGAGGCUAGAAAGCGUGGGUAGCAAACAGG
rnacentral:rRNA from 1 species